AUUGAACGCUGGCGGCAUGCCUUACACAUGCAAGUCGAACGGUAACAGGUCUUCGGAUGCUGACGAGUGGCGAACGGGUGAGUAAUACAUCGGAACGUGCCUAGUAGUGGGGGAUAACUACUCGAAAGAGUGGCUAAUACCGCAUGAGAUCUACGGAUGAAAGCAGGGGAUCGCAAGACCUUGUGCUACUAGAGCGGCCGAUGGCAGAUUAGGUAGUUGGUGGGAUAAAAGCUUACCAAGCCGACGAUCUGUAGCUGGUCUGAGAGGACGAUCAGCCACACUGGGACUGAGACACGGCCCAGGCUCCUACGGGAGGCAGCAGUGGGGAAUUUUGGACAAUGGGCGAAAGCCUGAUCCAGCAAUGCCGCGUGCAGGAUGAAGGCCUUCGGGUUGAAAACUGCUUUUGUACGGAACGAAAAGCCCCGGGUUAAUACCCUGGGGUCAUGACGGUACCGUAAGAAUAAGCACCGGCUAACUACGUGCCAGCCGCCGCGGUAA
rnacentral:rRNA from 1 species